rnacentral:rRNA from 1 species
UACGUAGGGUGCAAGCGUUGUCCGGAAUUAUUGGGCGUAAAGAGCUCGUAGGCGGUCUGUCGCGUCGGACGUGAAAAUCAGGGCUCAACCCUGGACCUGCGUUCGAUACGGGCAGACUAGAGUUCGGUAGGGGAGACUGGAAUUCCCGGUGUAGCGGUGAAAUGCGCAGAUAUCGGGAGGAACACCAGUAGCGAAGGCGGCAUCCUGGACCGGUAUUGACGCUGAGGCGCGAAAGCUAGGGGAGCAAACGGGG